CAAAUGGUAGUUUAUAUAAAACAAUAGAUUUGGGUUCUAUAAAAAAUUAACGUUUCUUUUGA
rnacentral:tRNA from 1 species